UCAGAUCCUUCCACGUCAACCCAUCACGUAUCAAAAUCAUGAGAACACAUCUUACAAGUAAUUUAGGCUACUCAUACAUAGAACUUAAUAGAUACAUUUAUGCAAGUAUAUGAGUAAAAUACAAGAAUGCAUAGAUCCGUUCACACGAGGAUAUAUAAGUGAGGAAAAAGAAAAAAAAAAAGAGGAGAGGGGGGCGGACAGCUUCUUGUUAAAAUCUUCAAUUCCCCUCUCUGUCCGUCCCUAGUUAGUGUCCCUCCGAGAUGAUCUGUCUCCCCUCCAAGCCCGAUAAGGCUUCCACCCCCAGCACUAAAGAGUUAAGAGGUGGGGUGGCAGGUUCUUUAUUUUAUGAGUUUCUGGCAGGUGAAGGUGGAUGCACUGAGCUCGUUGUUGGUGGUCUGGUCUUCACGUGCGGCAGCUGCUGCGACACGGUGGCGGCGUCGGCCGCAGAGCACCAGAAGGACACAGAAGAAGAAGGUGAUUCCCAAUAUGACGGCCACGCCCACAAGUCUGCAAUCCGUGUCAUCGUCGCAGCCUCUUUGUUUCCUGAAAAGCCAUGAGCUGGUAGACAUGGUGGUCGCCCGGUUGGGCUGGGAUGCUCUCUCUCUCUCUCUCGU
rnacentral:lncRNA from 1 species